rnacentral:misc_RNA from 1 species
GAUGAAGAACGUAGCGAAAUGCGAUACUUGGUGUGAAUUGCAGAAUCCCGUGAACCAUCGAGUUUUUGAACGCAAGUUGCGCCCGAAGCCUUUUGGCCGAGGGCACGUCUGCCUGGGCGUCACACAUCGCGUCGCCCCCCACAACUCUCCGUAAAGGGAACUUGUGUUUUGGGGGCGGAUAUUGGUCUCCCGUGCUCAUGGCGUGGUUGGCCGAAAUAGGAGUCCCUCCGGUGGACGCACGAACUAGUGGUGGUCGUAAAAACCCUCGUCUUUUGUUUCGUGCCGUUAGUCGCGAGGGAAACUCUUUAAAAACCCAAAUGUGUCGUCUCUUGACGGCGCUUCGACCGCGACCCCAGGUCAGGCGGGACUACCCGCUGAGUUUAAGCAUAUCAAUAAGCGGAGGA